rnacentral:rRNA from 1 species
UACGUAGGGUGCGAGCGUUAAUCGGAAUUACUGGGCGUAAAGCGUGCGCAGGCGGUUUUGUAAGCCAGAUGUGAAAGCCCCGGGCUUAACCUGGGAAUGGCAUUUGGGACUGCAAGGCUUGAGUGCGGCAGAGGAGACUGGAAUUCCUGGUGUAGCAGUGAAAUGCGUAGAUAUCAGGAGGAAUACCGAUGGCGAAGGCAGGUCUCUGGGCUGACACUGACGCUCAUGCACGAAAGCGUGGGGAGCAAACAGGG